CCUACGGGAGGCAGCAGUAGGGCAUAUUGCUCAAUGGGGGAAACCCUGACGCAGCAACGCCGCGUGUAUGAUGAAGGUUUUCGGAUUGUACACUCCUUUUGUUAGAGAAGAUAAUGACGGUAUCUAACGAAUAAGCAACGGCUAACUCCGUGCAAGCAGCCGCGGUAAUACGGAGGGUGCAAGCGUUACUCGGAAUCACUGGGCGUAAGGAGCACGUAGGCGGGAUAGCAAGUCAGAUGUGAAAUCCUAUGGCUAAACCAUAGAACUGAAUUUGAAACUGUUCUUCUAGAGUAUGGGAGAGGGAGGUAGAAUUCUUGGUGUAGGGGUAAAAUCCGUAGAGAUCAAGAGGAAUACUCAGUGCGAAGGCGACCUGCUAGAACAUAACUGACGCUGAUGCGCGAAAGCGUGGGGAGCAAACAGGAUUAGAUACCCCAGUAGUC
rnacentral:rRNA from 1 species